AUUUAGAGUAUAUAAAGGGCAUCACCAGAGUGGCGGGAUAUUGCGUCAUCAUUGUGUCACCUGGGCGUCAUGGUUGCCGGUGCUCGACAGCUCUGUGUGUGAGCUGGUGUCUGUUCGGAGGUACUGAUCGUACUGCUCGAGAGGGUGUUUCCUCUGCAUCACUGCUGUAGUUCCAGUUUAGAUCGCAAGUACAACACGGCGUGCUGUGGGUGACUGCUGCUCUUCUGUUUGUAAAUGGUAUGAGAGAAUGGUCUGCCGGAUAUUUUAACGGAAGUCCCGCUGAUCGGUAUGUAAACCCACUCAUGUCUUUAUGUCCACUUUAAAGUAACGUUAAAAGUGUGUUUUUAACUCUGUUUCUUGUGUAUUUU